AGCAGCCGCGGUAAUUCCAGCUCCAAUAGCGUAUAUUAAAGUUGUUGCAGUUAAAAAGCUCGUAGUUGAAUUUCGGGAUUUAUCCGUCGGUCGGGCUUUCGGGUCUGUACUGGCGUGAUGGAUUCCUACCUUCUGAAUAACCGGCAUGUCAUUAAUUUGGUGCGCCGGGGAAGCAGGACUGUUACCUUGAAAAAAUUAGAGUGCUUAAAGCAGGCUUAUGCCUGAAUACAUUAGCAUGGAAUAAUGAAAUAGGACGGCAUGGUUCUAUUUUGUUGGUUUCUAGGAUCACCGUAAUGAUUAAUAGGGAUAGUUGGGGGCAUUAGUAUUCAAUUGUCAGAGGUGAAAUUCUUGGAUUUAUUGAAGACUAACUUCUGCGAAAGCAUUUGCCAAGGAUGUUUUCAUUAAUCAAGAACGAAAGUUAGGGGAUCGAAGACGAUCAGAUACCGUCGU
rnacentral:rRNA from 1 species